rnacentral:miRNA from 1 species
UGCGCGCAGCUAUGAAAGAAGGCAAGGCAGCGAGUGGGAUGGAUCCCACUCACUGUUUUGGCUUCCCCUUUAGCCCCGUGCAGCCUCUCCUUGCCGGAGGGGUUGCGCGCAGCUAUGGAAGAAGGCAAGGCAGCGAGUGGGAUGGAUCCCGCUCGCUGUUUUGGCUUCCCCUUUAGCCCCGUGCA